rnacentral:rRNA from 1 species
GACGAACGCUGGCGGCGUGCCUAAUACAUGCAAGUAGAACGAGUUGCGAACGGGUGAGUAACGCGUGGUAACCUGCCUCAUAGCGGGGGAUAACUAUUGGAAACGAUAGCUAAUACCGCAUACCAUCGGAUGUUCCCAGAUGGGAUUAGCUCGUAGGUGGGGUAACGGCUGUCCCAGGCGACGAACCAUAUCUGGUCAGAGAGGAGGAAAAGUCACACUGGAAUGUAGACACGGUCCAGACUCCGACGGGAGGAAGCAGUGGGGAAUAUUGCACAAUGGGCGCAAGCCUGAUGCAGCCAUGCCGCGUGUAUGAAGAAGGCCUUCGGGUUGUAAAGUACUUUCAGCGAGGAGGAGUUACUCGCAGAAGAAGCACCGGCUAACUCCGUGCCAGCCGCCGCGGUAAUAC